rnacentral:rRNA from 1 species
ACGGCUCAGUAACACGUGGACAACCUACCCUGAGGAGGGGGAUAACCCCGGAAAACUGGGGAUAAUACCCCAUAGAUUAGAGGCGCUGGAAUGCCCUCUAGUCGAAAGGUCCGCCGCCUCAGGAUGGGUCUGCGGCCGAUUAGGUUGUUGUUGGGGUAACGGCCCAACAAGCCUGUAAUCGGUACGGGUUGUGGGAGCAAGAACCCGGAGAUGGAUUCUGAGACACGAAUCCAGGCCCUACGGGGCGCAGCAGGCGCGAAAACUUUACAAUGCGGGAAACCGUGAUAAGGGAACCCCGAGUGCCCGUAAAUCCGGGCUGUCCAUCUGUAUAAAUAGCAGGUGAAGAAAGGGCCGGGCAAGACCGGUGCCAGCCGCCGCGGUAAUACCGGCGGCUCGAGUGGUGGCCACUACUACUGGGCUUAAAGCGUCCGUAGCUGGAUUGUUAAGUCUCCUGGGAAAUCCACCGGCUCAACCGAUGGGCGUUCAGGGGAUACUGGCAAUCUAGGGACCGGAAGAGGUGAGAGGUACUCCAGGGGUAGGAGUGAAAUCCUGUAAUCCUUGGGGGACCACCUGUGGCGAAGGCGUCUCACCAGGACGGCUCCGACAGUGAGGGACGAAAGCUGGGGGAGCAAACCGGAUUAGAUACCCGGGUAGUCCCAGCUGUAAACGAUGCGCGUUAGGUGUAUCGGUGACCACGAGUCACCGAGGUGCCGAAGGGAAACCGUGAAACGUGCCGCCUGGGAAGUACGGUCGCAAGGCUGAAACUUAAAGGAAUUGGCGGGGGAG